rnacentral:RNase_P_RNA from 1 species
GGUGGUUGUGGCCUUUCGGGGCUGCGAGAUGCCCGGGAGGAAAGUCCGGACUCCGUAGGGCGCGGUGGUGGGUAACGCCCACCGCCCGGAUCACCGGGAAGGGAAAGUGCCACAGAAAAGAAACCGCCAUGUGCGUAAUCGCUUACGUUCAUGGUAAGGGUGAAAAGGUGAGGUAAGAGCUCACCAGCAGGAUGGGUGACCGUUCUGGCUUGGUAAACCCCACCGGGAGCAAGACCAAAUAGGGAAGCAGUGCUUCGGGAUUCGUCCCGAAGCUGCGGAUCGGCCCGGUCCGCCACGACUUCCGGGUAGGUCGCUUGAAACGGCAGGCAACUGCCGUUCCAGAGAAAUGAUCACACUCGGCGCGAGAUAUUCUCUCGCCCGAGAAACAGAAUCCGGCUUAUUGACCCGU